GUUCAGACUUAUCGACAGUUUCCUUGGAGGAGACAUUCAUGCUAAAGCUUGAUGAGAACACACCAGGUCUUCUGCAGCUUAUGCUGCUAAACGAGGGGCUGCUGGUUCAAAGAUGCACCUUCUGCUGGACACUUUAAAUGACCCACAGAGCAUUGAGGAAAAAGGGAUACAGUUGUCUGCUGCCUCAUUAACUACUUUGGUGAAAGACAAGAAGAUCUUUUCCAUGACUGCCAGGAAUGUGAGGACUACACAGACAAAACAAUGAAGGUGAUCGUGAUGCACAACAUCAUGGCUGAGGAGGAUCCAUCAGACCAAGUGGAAGCCGAACAAAGAC